ACCAAGACUGGAGCAGAAGAAGACACAAAAAUGGGAGCAGAAUUAGAACAGAUAAUUAUAUUCUUCAUUUUUCCAUUCCUUGAUAUCAAAAUAUUGAUCCUCAUCAGGCCAUACCCAAUGAUCCCUCUUUUCUUCCAACCAAGUUUUGCUUUGCUGCCUUCACUCAGUUUUAGCAACCAUCUGUUCCCUUUUUUUUUUUUUUUUUUGGUCCUGAUUUGUUCUCUCUAGUGUUCCAACCCAUGAUUUCUAUUCACUUUGCUCUAUAAUACUGAAGCUCCUUCAUCUCCUUUUGUUUCAAAACCCUUUGCUAAAGCUUCUUUCAGCUGUUCUAUCCAGGGUGCUGUUCCAUUAGGUGUUCAUGGAACAGGAUGCUGCAGCCAAUACCUGCUGCCGGCUACAUGUACUUGUACAAAUUUUUACAUGUGUUUUCAAGUGCCUGUUUUUGUUUCAUUCAUUGUGUAUGCUUGCUGGCUCAUUCCUCAAAGUGUUAAGGCAUGAUAAAAAUGAAAACAUCCUUGAUUAGGUGCUCCUUCCUUUUCUAUUCUGUCUAGUAAAAUGUGCCCAUGCCUGGAUGCUACUGAGCAGUGUGUUUUCCUGUCUGCAUCCCACAUCAACUGCUGCAGGUGGAUAUUACAAAAUCAUACAGCAUGCUGAGGUCACAAAGGCUGAAGGUAACCUAACAAGGUUUGACAGAAUGGGAAGCAAUGAAUGUGACAGAUGGCCAUUUUCAGUGGCAGACUUGUAUUUAUUGCAACAACCUAUUCUCCCCUUGGUAUAGAUUUCUGCAUAUAUGCUUUCAUCCAGUGAGUUCAGGAUGCUACACACAGUUGCUUUAUCCUCACAACACUAUCCUGUGAGGUAGGUCAGGCUGAGAGAGAGUAAAUGGCCUAUUUCAUCAAGGCUCAGUGGGAAUUUGAACCCAGACCACGCCUGACACUCUACACAAGGUUUGGACUUUCUGCCACUGCUGGCAUUUGUGUUAAAAUAAGAAAUCCCUUCCCCUCAGAAUCUAUAUAUGACACCUGAUGUAUCACUCUUUCUUUCUAUUUAUCUUGCCUUUCUGGCAACCACUGUCAAGGCACUGCCAACUUGCAUGGAAAACACAGAGCUGAGCACCAUUUUAAAGCCUUGCCUGGAUCUGGUUCCUUAUCAGCAACAAAUACUGAGCAAGUGUUUAGUGAAUUCAGUGGAAGCCUGAGCUGCCUCUGCUGCCUGGAAAGACAAAGAGCUUCAUUUGAACCGUCAUUAUCAGGGUUGUUUUCCUCUUGACAGAAAAUACCACCUGAUGAUAUCCCAAGCACCAUACUUGCAGCUGACAGCAAGAGUCUUUGCUAGCUGCAGCACUUGUUAGAGUGCUAAUUUCAGCCAUCCAUUCAGUGAAUGGGAGUUCUGGGCUCUGUUCAUUAUUUCUACUUAACCAUUUCUUUCCUCUACUUAACCCACUUAUCUACUUUUUGGAGAAGCAAGCUUGAUUCAUACCCUUUGAUAGACCUGCUGUAGCAACAACUGCCUCUGUUAUGGAUAGGGGGAGGGGUGAGAAGCUUCAGGUGGAAAGUUUAUUAUUUAUUUAUUUAUACAUACAAUUUCUAUGCCGCCCCAUUUGCAAAAAGCCUCGGGGCGGCUUACAACAUAAAUAAACAAUUAUACAAUUAGCCUUAAAAAAGUUGCUUUCCCCACCCCCAUGCCUCUCCCAUCUGUAAAGUGCUGAGGCCAUUGCCAUGGGCAGAGCAAAGGAUGGGUCUAGACCUGUUUUUGCAAACCUAGCAGUGCUUUCUGUUCCUUAGAAAUGACAGUGUCCUCCAGGCAGGGCUGUGUCAGGGUGCCAUGAUCCAGCAAGAGGCCCACCAUUCAUGGACUAUACUUCCUGCUGCUCACUGCCACAGUCCCAGUCACCUGAUUUCUCCCUCUAGAUGCUAGAAACUUAAAUGGACACAACCACUGCCCGAGGAGGAAAGGAAUUCUUUCCCUGCCAACCCGUGAAGGGGGAAGCUAAGCUACACAGUCUUGACCAUCAAAUGGGCUACAAGCAAAAAGAGGCAUAGUGUGGAGAGUGACUAGGGAGCAACAGAGCCAAGAUGACCUGUGCCACAGGUGAAGGAAAAUGGAGAAGGCCCUCUCACUCACUGAAUCUACUCUGAUCUGAGGGCGAUUUGCUUCCUGGUUCCAAACAUAGAAACCAAGCUAAGCAACUUAGUCACAAACCUGCCUGAGCCAAGAACUGCCAGGGUAACUAGCAGCUAUAUUCAAGCCAAGGGGCAACUGAACUUCAGCACUGGCUAUGCCAGUUGAUGAGGUCAAGUUGGUGCCCCUACCUGCAUCCACAUCGUUGGGCCACCCACUGGACUGGCUGCUGCCAGCUGCUGGAGACCGCCCUGUUCCAGGGUAGAACACAUCAUCUACAGGGCUCUCCAUCUCACUGUCAUCUAUUGAUUUGGGCCUCUUGGUGGAACUGCAAUUGAA